CCUACGGGUGGCAGCAGUGGGGAAUAUUGGACAAUGGGCGAAAGCCUGAUCCAGCCAUGCCGCGUGUGUGAAGAAGGCCUUCGGGUUGUAAAGCACUUUCAGUGGGGAAGAAAGCCUUGGGGCUAAUACCCUCGAGGAAGGACAUCACCCACAGAAGAAGCACCGGCUAACUCCGUGCCAGCAGCCGCGGUAAUACGGAGGGUGCGAGCGUUAAUCGGAAUUACGGGCGUAAAGCGCGCGUAGGCGGUCUGAUAAGCCGGUUGUGAAAGCCCCGGGCUCAACCUGGGAACGGCAUCCGGAACUGUCAGGCUAGAGUGCAGGAGAGGAAGGUAGAAUUCCCGGUGUAGCGGUGAAAUGCGUAGAGAUCGGGAGGAAUACCAGUGGCGAAGGCGGCCUUCUGGACUGACACUGACGCUGAGGUGCGAAAGCGUGGGUAGCAAACAGGAUUAGAUACCCCGGUAGUC
rnacentral:rRNA from 1 species